rnacentral:rRNA from 1 species
ACACUCCUACGGGAGGCAGCAGUGGGGAAUUUUGGACAAUGGGCGAAAGCCUGAUCCAGCAAUGCCGCGUGAGUGAAGAAGGCCUUCGGGUUGUAAAGCUCUUUUGUCAGGGAAGAAACGGUGAAAGCUAAUAUCUUUUGCUAAUGACGGUACCUGAAGAAUAAGCACCGGCUAACUACGCGCCAGCAGCCGCGGUAAUACGUAGGGUGCAAGCGUUAAUCGGAAUUACUGGGCGUAAAGCGUGCGCAGGCGGUUUUGUAAGUCUGAUGUGAAAUCCCCGGGCUCAACCUGGGAAUUGCAUUGGAGACUGCAAGGCUAGAAUCUGGCAGAGGGGUGUAGAAUUCCACGUGUAGCAGUGAAAUGCGUAGAUAUGUGGAGGAACACCGAUGGCGAAGGCAGCCCCCUGGGUCAAGAUUGACGCUCAUGCACGAAAGCGUGGGGAGCAAACAGGAUUAGAUACCCCAGUAGUCCCA